rnacentral:lncRNA from 1 species
ACUCGCUUGCAGACUGGCUUGCAGACUGGGAGGAAUGAGGGAAUAUUCCCAGCUGUUUUGGUUGUGGCACUAGCCCCUGGUUAAGGCACAACAGGAAUGUCUGCAAAAUGCAAAGAGAAUCUACAUCAUGUGCUGCAUGAGGAGCCAUCAUCAGCCCUGAGAAAUGUAUCCGGGCAAAGCCUUACCAGCUGAAAGUCAGUCUUCUCAAAAUAAACCACUGGUGAAAGGGAUUGUUUCCAAGGCACUUGUGUGGACCACACAUCUGUGUGCUGUUCCAGGUUUGUUCAGGGGCUUUGAAAUUCAGAUCAUAUGGACUUUAACCAAGGAAAAUGGCAAAGGUACAUAUGUCAAUACUUUCAGAGACUUUAGAGACGUUUUUCCUUUUGCAUCAUCGCAUCAACUUUUCAGUCUUGCCUUCAGCUGCCUGAGCCUCCCAAGCUGCAUCCUGCCCCACAGACAAGAAAAUGUAGCCACAGACAACAGUGGAAGAGGGGCUUUGAAACAAAGAAGGAAGAGUGGGCACAUGUUUCCUGGGACUCUUGGGAUCCUCGAACUCUUUGAAGAAAGAAGAAGAAAGAUAGCAGCCUGGAAAAGGAGCAAGACGGCAAGGGGUGACCAGCAGGAGUGGAGCACUGUCCCAGAGUCAGAGACCAGAUUUGCUUGGCUAGAAUGGGAGGAUUUGGGCAAUUAAGUUUCCUUAAUGGUUCCCUAAAAUUACAUGAGGAGGAAAACCUAAUAAAAUACUGAACUCUUUGAUGGCAGUAGAAUAGAGACUUACACUAUGGUCAUUUGGGUAUUAAUAAUCUCUGAAGACUGGAGAAGAUAGGAACAUCUUAAUUACCCAUGGUUCCCAAUACCCCUGUACAUAUUU